rnacentral:rRNA from 1 species
UACGUAGGGGGCGAGCGUUGUCCGGAUUUACUGGGCGUAAAGCGCGUGUAGGCGGCCGGCUAAGUCGGGUGUGAAAGCCCGGGGCUCAACCUGGGAACUGCAUCCGAUACUGGAUGGCUUGAAUUCGGGAGAGGGAUGCAGAAUUCCAGGUGUAGCGGUGAAAUGCGUAGAUAUCUGGAGGAAUACCGGUGGCGAAGGCGGCAUCCUGGACCGACAUUGACGCUGAGGAGCGAAAGCCAGGGGAGCAAACGGG